rnacentral:rRNA from 1 species
ACGCGCCGGAUUACCAUCGCGUAAUUCUAACGCUUCACGUGAACCGGUUGAUGCACCACUAGGCGCUGCCGCGCGACCCCAAUGGCCGUUGUCUAAAAACACAUCUGCUUCAACGGUUGGGUUGCCGCGUGAGUCCAUAAUUUCACGAGCUACAAUUUUACUGAUUGCUGCCAUGACAGUAGCCUACUCCUGUUAUUACACGCGGCGCUUAGGCGCGACGCUUCUUCUGAUAAAUACCAGCGGCUUCAAUAAAGCCACGGAACAAUGGGUGCCCAUCACGCGGUGUUGAGGUGAAUUCAGGGUGGAAUUGCGCCGCAACAAACCAUGGAUGUUCAGGAAUCUCAAUAAUCUCGACCAGUCGAUUAUCAUGCGACCAGCCAGAAAUUUUCAAGCCAGCUUGUUCCAAUUGUUCAAUAUAAUGACCAUUCACUUCAUAGCGGUGACGGUGACGCUCUUUAAUCACGUCUUUCGCGUAUAAAUCACGCGCCUUGGUUCCCUUCACGAGGUUACAUGGCUGCGCACCUAAACGCAUGGUACCGCCUAAAUCUGAACUCGAGUCGCGUAAUUCUUUUUGACCUUUCGCGUCCAUCCAUUCCGUGAUGAGACCAACCACUGGAUGUUCAGCUUUGGCAUCAAAUUCCGUGCUAUUGGCAGUUUUAAGACCAGCAACAUUGCGAGCAUAUUCAAUUAACGCAAUUUGCAUACCCAAACAGAUGCCAAGAUAUGGAAUGCCGUUUUCACGGGCGUACUGAGCCGCCAUAAUUUUACCGAGAAUACCGCGCUCACCAAAACCACCUGGCACAAUAAUCGCGUCGACGUCAGCAAGUUUUGCGACACCUUUGGUUUCAACGUCCUGCGCAUCAAUAUAACGAAUAUUGACGGUUAAACGAUUCUUUAAACCGGCGUGCGCUAACGCUUCGUUCACUGACUUAUAGGCGUCUGGUAAUUCAAUGUAUUUACCCACGAAACCAAUCGUCACUUCGCCACUUGGAUUCGAUUCUUGAUACAGAACUUGUUCCCAUUCCGACAAAUCGGCUUCUGGGCAUUCCAUACGGAAACGGUGUACGACAAUUUCAUCUAACCCCUGCGAUUUCAAAAUCGCUGGAAUUUUGUAAAUGCUGUCGACAUCUUUUAAGCCGAUAACAGCUUUUUCUUCAACGUUGGUGAACAACGCAAUCUUAGCGCGUUCGUUCGCCGGCAAUGCACGAUCAGAACGACACACCAAAAUAUCCGGUUGAAUACCAAUUGAACGUAAUUCUUUCACCGAGUGUUGCGUUGGUUUGGUUUUGACUUCACCAGCCGCACCCAAGAAUGGCACCAACGUCAGGUGCAUAAACAAGGUGCGAUCGCGGCCAACUUCAGUUGCUAACUGACGAAUGGCUUCAAGGAAUGGUUGUGACUCAAUGUCACCGACCGUACCGCCAAUUUCAAUAAUCGCGAUAUCGUAGCCGGCACCACCAUCAAUGAUGCGACGUUUAAUUUCGUUAGUGUUCCUAGGCUGUUUCCUGGUGGGAUCCUCUAGAGUCGACCUGCAGGCAUGCAAGCUUGAGUAUUCUAUAGUCUCACCUAAAUAGCUUGGCGUAAUCAUGGUCAUAGCUGUUUCCUGUGUGAAAUUGUUAU